UGGGGAAUAUUGCACAAUGGGGGAAACCCUGAUGCAGCCAUGCCGCGUGUGUGAAGAAGGCCUUCGGGUUGUAAAGCACUUUCAGUGGGGAGGAAGGGUUGAUGUCUAAUACGCAUCAGCAUUGACGUUACCCACAGAAGAAGCACCGGCUAACUCCGUGCCAGCAGCCGCGGUAAUACGGAGGGUGCAAGCGUUAAUCGGAAUAACUGGGCGUAAAGCGCACGCAGGCGGUUAGAUAAGUCAGAUGUGAAAUGCCCGGGCUCAACCUGGGAACUGCAUUUGAAACUGGCUGACUAGAGUCUUGUAGAGGGGGGUAGAAUUCCAGGUGUAGCGGUGAAAUGCGUAGAGAUCUGGAGGAAUACCGGUGGCGAAGGCGGCCCCCUGGACAAAGACUGACGCUCAGGUGCGAAAGCGUGGGGAGCAAACA
rnacentral:rRNA from 1 species